rnacentral:rRNA from 1 species
GUGAAACCGCGAAUGGCUCAUUAAAUCACACCUAAUGCACUGGAUAGUUUCAGUUACUUGGAUAACUGCGGUAAUUCUGGAGCUAAUACAUGCGACACAGCCCCGACGCAAGGAGGGGCGCUUUUAUUAGAUCAAAACCAAACGGGUUCUGCCCGUAUCACUGGUGAUUCUGAAUAACUUUCGGCUGAUCGCACGGCCUUGCGCCGGCGACGUAUCCUUCCAAGGUGUGCCCUAUCAACUGUCGACUGUGGCAUAGACGUCCACAGUGGUUUUGACGGGUAACGGGGAAUUAGGGUUCGAUUCCGGAGAGGGAGCCUGAGAAACGGCUACCACUUCUAAGGAAGGCAGCAGGCACGCAAAUUACCCAAUGGUCGACGACCGAGGUAGUGACGAAAAAUAACGAUACCGGACUCUUAUGAGGCUCGGUAAUUGGAAUGAGUACACUUUAAAUCCUUUAACGAGGAACAAUUGGAGGGCAAGUCUGGUGCCAGCAGCCGCGGUAAUUCCAGCUCCAAUAGCGUAUAUCAAAGUUGUUGCGGUUAAAAAGCUCGUAGUUGGAUCUCGGCGGACAGGGGGUGGCUCGGCUUAUGCCAUGCUGCCCCAUUCGUCCGUGAUUUUUGACGGAGGCUCCAGGUUGCCCUUUACUGUGAGUGUCUGGUGCGCCGUCAGGUUUACUUUGAAAAAAUUAGAGUGCUCAAAGCAGGCUUUACACGCUUGAAUAUUCGUGCAUGGAAUAAUGGAAUAGGAAGUCGUUCCUAUUUUGUUGGUUUUCGGGAAUUGACUUAAUGAUUAAUAGGGACAGCCGGGGGCAUUAGUAUUCAGACGACAGAGGUGAAAUUCUUGGACCGUCUGAAGACUAACUACUGCGAAAGCAUUUGCCAAGAGUGUUUUCAUUAAUCAAGAACGAAAGUUAGAGGUUCGAAGGCGAUCAAAUACCGCCCUAGUUCUAACCAUAAACGAUGCCAGCUAGCGAUCCGCAGGUGUUAUU